rnacentral:rRNA from 1 species
AGAGCGAACGCUAGCGGGUGGCCUAACACAUGCAAGUCGAGCGGGACCUUCGGGUCCAGCGGCGAACGGGUGAGUAACACGUAGGAUAUCUACCUUCUGGUGGGGCAUAGCCGGGGGAAACCCCGAUUAAUACCGCAUAUGGCCUACGGGUCAAAGCCUUCGGGCGCCAGAAGAUGAGCCUGCGGCCCAUUAUUUAAUCCUAGUUGGCGGGGUAACGGCCCACCAAGGGUACGAUGGGUAGCUGGUCUGAGAGGACGAUCAGCCACACUGGAACUGAGACACGGUCCAGACUCCUACGGGAGGCAGCAGUGGGGAAUAUUGCGCAAUGGGCGAAAGCCUGACGCAGCCAAUCCGCGUGGGUGAUGAAAGGCCUUCGGGUUGUAAAGCCCUGUCGUGAGGGAAGAAUAAACUGACGGUACCUCACAAGAAAGCACCGGCUAACCCCGCGCCAGCAGCCGC